AAUAGAUACCCAGGUAGUCCACGCCGUAAACGGUGGGCACUAGGUGUGGGCAACAUUCCACGUUGUCCGUGCCGCAGCUAACGCAUUAAGUGCCCCGCCUGGGGAGUACGGCCGCAAGGCUAAAACUCAAAGGAAUUGACGGGGGGCCCGCACAAGCGGCGGAGCAUGUGGCUUAAUUCGACGCAACGCGAAGAACCUUACCAAGGCUUGACAUACACCGGAAACGUCUGGAGACAAGCGCCCCCUUGUGGUCGGUGUACAGGUGGUGCAUGGCUGUCGUCAGCUCGUGUCGUGAGAUGUUGGGUUAAGUCCCGCAACGAGCGCAACCCUUGUCCCGUGUUGCCAGCAGGCCCUUGUGGUGCUGGGGACUCACGGGAGACCGCCGGGGUCAACUCGGAGGAAGGUGGGGACGACGUCAAGUCAUCAUGCCCCUUAUGUCUUGGGGCUGCACACGUGCUACAAUGGCCGGUACAAUGAGCUGCGAUACCGCGAGGUGGAGCGAAUCUCAAAAAGCCGGUCUCAGUUCGGAUUGGGGU
rnacentral:rRNA from 1 species